UAACAGCAGAAUCUACCUAAUUAAUAAUAAUAAUGCAGACAAUGCCACAAAUAUGUAUGGUUAUCCUGUGACAGUGACAAAUAAUGUAACUAUUGAAAAACAAAAAGAAAAAUUGGCAUUGAAUGAAAUAGACAAAACUUAUCAAAUUAGUACAGAAAAAACACAACCACCAACAAAUUAAAUGAGUAAACACAAUCUUCUUAAACGAUUGAUGGAGAUGUCCAAUGAUGUGAGUUCUCUUUCGAAGGUUAGAAAUGAUAUCAUUAAAGAUUAUUAUGCUCAGAAACUUCUUCUUUUGGAAAGGAUUGUAAUAGUGAAAGAAGAAAAAGUUAAAAAUAAUGAGGGCUGUAGCCUUUAAGGAGGUAUGAAUAUUUUCUAAUUAAUUUUUUUAUGUAAUGAAAAGUUAAAUAAUAAUCUGUGAUAAAUACAUAAGUAUUAAA